rnacentral:rRNA from 4 species
CACCAUGGGAGUGGGUUGCAAAAGAAGUAGGUAGCUUAACCUUCGGGAGGGCGCUUACCACUUUGUGAUUCAUGACUGGGGUGAAGUCGUAACAAGGUAACCGUAGGGGAACCUGCGGUUGGAUCACCUCCUUA